rnacentral:rRNA from 1 species
AACGCUAGCUACAGGCUUAACACAUGCAAGUCGCGGGGUAACGAGAGGGAAGCUUGCUUUCCUUGUCGACGACCGGCGCACGGGUGAGUAACGCGUAUCCAACCUGCCCAUUACCACGGGAUACCCCGUCGAAAGGCGGCCUAAUACCGUAUGCAGUCGUCAGAUGACAUCAGAAGACGACGAAAGGAUUAGCGGUAAUGGAUGGGGAUGCGUCUGAUUAGGUAGUUGGAGGGGUAACGGCCCACCAAGCCAUCGAUCAGUAGGGGUUCUGAGAGGAAGGUCCCCCACAUUGGAACUGAGACACGGUCCAAACUCCUACGGGAGGCAGCAGUGAGGAAUAUUGGUCAAUGGGCGCGAGCCUGAACCAGCCAAGUAGCGUGAGGGAUGACGGCCCUAUGGGUUGUAAACCUCUUUUAUGCGGGAAUAAAAUGUUUGACGUGUCAUACAUUGUAGGUACCGCAAGAAUAAGGACCGGCUAAUUCCGUGCCAGCAGCCGCGGUAAUACGGAAGGUCCAGGCGUUAUCCGGAUUUAUUGGGUUUAAAGGGAGCGUAGGCCGCAAGUCAAGCGUGUUGUGAAAUGCAGGGGCUCAACCUCUGGAUUGCAGCGCGAACUGGCAUGCUUGAGUACGCACGAGGUAGGCGGAAUUUGUGGUGUAGCGGUGAAAUGCUUAGAUAUCACGAAGAACUCCGAUUG